AGCGCCUUGGGAGGGUUGUUGGGUAUUGAAUGUAAAUUUCAAAUUUCAAAAAUUUGGGUUGUU
rnacentral:tRNA from 1 species